UACGUAGGGUGCGAGCGUUAAUCGGAAUUACUGGGCGUAAAGCGUGCGCAGGCGGUGAUGUAAGACAGAUGUGAAAUCCCCGGGCUCAACCUGGGAACUGCAUUUGUGACUGCAUCGCUGGAGUGCGGCAGAGGGGGAUGGAAUUCCGCGUGUAGCAGUGAAAUGCGUAGAUAUGCGGAGGAACACCGAUGGCGAAGGCAGCCUCCUGGGCCAGCACUGACGCUCAUGCACGAAAGCGUGGGGAGCAAACAGG
rnacentral:rRNA from 1 species